rnacentral:tRNA from 1 species
GUUGUGGCUCAGUGGUAGAGCACUGUCCUUGCACAUGUGAGGCACUGGGUUCAAUCCUCAGCACAACA